GCGGCAGGCUUCAUACAUGCAAGUCGAGGGGCAGCAUAAAUUACUUGUAAUUUGAUGGCGACCGGCGAACGGGUGCGUAACGCGUAUGCAACUUACCUUUUACUAGAGAAUAGCCAAGAGAAAUUUUGAUUAAUGCUCUAUGUUCUUAUUUACUCGCAUGAGUAAAUAAGCAAAGCUCCGGCGGUAAAAGAUGGGCAUGCGUCCUAUUAGCUUGUAGGUGAGGUAAUGGCUCACCUAAGCUCCGAUAGGUAGGGGUCCUGAGAGGGAGAUCCCCCACACUGGUACUGAGACACGGACCAGACUUCUACGGAAGGCAGCAGUAAGGAAUAUUGGACAAUGGAGGCAACUCUGAUCCAGCCAUGCCGCGUGAAGGAAGACGGCCUUAUGGGUUGUAAACUUCUUUUAUACAGGAAGAAACCUUUCCACGUGUGGAAAGCUGACGGUACUGUAAGAAUAAGGAUCGGCUAACUCCGUGCCAGCAGCCGCGGUAAUACGGAGGAUCCAAGCGUUAUCCGGAAUUAUUGGGUUUAAAGGGUCCGCAGGCUGUUUGUUAAGUCAGAGGUGAAAUCCUACCGCUCAACGGUAGAACUGCCUUUGAUACUGGCAAACUUGAGUUAUUGUGAAGUAGUUAGAAUGUGUAGUGUAGCGGUGAAAUGCAUAGAUAUUACACAGAAUACCGAUUGCGAAAGCAGAUUACUAACAAUAUACUGACGCUGAGGGACGAAAGCGUGGGUAGCGAACAGGAUUAGAUACCCUGGUAGUCCACGCCGUAAACGAUGGUCACUAGCUGUUCGAUGUACAUUGGUACGUUGAGUGGCUAAGCGAAAGUGAUAAGUGACCCA
rnacentral:rRNA from 1 species